UACGUAGGGCGCAAGCGUUGUCCGGAGUUAUUGGGCGUAAAGAGCUCGUAGGCGGUCUGUUACGUCUGCUGUGAAAACCCGGGGCUUAACCCUGGGCUUGCAGUGGAUACGGGCAGACUAGAGGCAGGUAGGGGAGAAUGGAAUUCCCGGUGUAGCGGUGAAAUGCGCAGAUAUCGGGAGGAACACCGGUGGCGAAGGCGGUUCUCUGGGCCUGACCUGACGCUGAGGAGCGAAAGCGUGGGGAGCGAACAGG
rnacentral:rRNA from 1 species